CACGUAGGGUGCGAGCGUUGUCCGGAAUUAUUGGGCGUAAAGAGCUCGUAGGCGGUGUGUCGCGUCGGCCGUGAAAACCUGAGGCUCAACCUCAGGCCUGCAGUCGAUACGGGCGGACUUGAGUACUGCAGGGGAGACUGGAAUUCCUGGUGUAGCGGUGAAAUGCGCAGAUAUCAGGAGGAACACCGGUGGCGAAGGCGGGUCUCUGGGCAGUAACUGACGCUGAGGAGCGAAAGCGUGGGGAGCGAACAGG
rnacentral:rRNA from 1 species